rnacentral:piRNA from 1 species
UUCAACUGUUCAUUCUGUGGCAGGAGGUGU